rnacentral:rRNA from 1 species
UGCUAUCAUGCAGUCGAGCGGACGAUUCCAAGCUUGCUUUUGGAUCGUUAGCGGCGGACGGGUGAGUAACACGUGGGCAACCUGCCCUGUAGACGGGGAUAACACCGAGAAAUCGGUGCUAAUACCGGAUAAUACGAAAGGCCGCAUGGUCUUUCGUUGAAAGGCGGCGCAAGCUGUCGCUACAGGAUGGGCCCGCGGCGCAUUAGCUAGUUGGUGAGGUAACGGCUCACCAAGGCGACGAUGCGUAGCCGACCUGAGAGGGUGAUCGGCCACACUGGGACUGAGACACGGCCCAGACUCCUACGGGAGGCAGCAGUAGGGAAUCUUCCGCAAUGGACGAAAGUCUGACGGAGCAACGCCGCGUGAGCGAAGAAGGCCUUCGGGUCGUAAAGCUCUGUUGUUAGGGAAGAACAAGUACCGCAGUCACUGGCGGUACCUUGACGGUACCUAACGAGGAAGCCACGGCUAACUACGUGCCAGCAGCCGCGGUAAUACGUAGGUGGCAAGCGUUGUCCGGAAUUAUUGGGCGUAAAGCGCGCGCAGGCGGUUCCUUAAGUCUGAUGUGAAAGCCCACGGCUCAACCGUGGAGGGUCAUUGGAAACUGGGGGACUUGAGUGCAGAAGAGGAGAGCGGAUCUCCACGUGUAGCGGUGAAUGCGUAGAGAUGUGG